AUGGAAUAUUUUCACAUGAAAAUUUGUUUGACCUGAUAUCAGUUACAUUAAAUCUCGCUUGAAAAAUUAAGUGAGUCAAGUUCUAAAGUUGGAAUUUUUGUAAGAAUUCGAAAUUCUCUUGCGCUAGAUUUGGAUUCAAAUUGGGGGCGGGAGUUGUGGGAGAUUGGCUCUGAUUCCUUGGUUUCUAGUAGAUGGAGAUUUUUUGAAUGGUUCCAGAUCUAGAUCUUCUUUGCUUUGCAUAAGUUACUUUGGUGUCUAUAUUUCUAAAGUGGGCGCAUUAGAGGCAUUAUCGAUCUUCUGUACUCCAAUCUGCUAGCGACUCCAGCCAGCAGCCUGUCAUCGCGACUCCAUCAAACUCCCUUGGUUUCUCCCAUUUGUUCUCUCUCUCAAGACUCGACUCCCACAGGCUCUCCUUCGCUGGAUUGAGGAAGCAGAACUAGGUUCCACUGCCAACAUUUGGCCAAGAAAUCCAACCCUUCAUUAUUCGGUGUCUCGUUAUUGCACACAAUCUUGAAACUGCAACCAUUAGAUGCAAAAGCAGGUCUCCGCAUGGAGGUCUCCCAGUAGCAUUUCAAUGAUGGUGCAUCCCAAGGACCAAAUAUCUGAGGAAAAAUCCAAUCCUUCAUUUCUCAAGGUGGCCCAUCUCAUAAAACUUAGUUGAGGACAGGGAGAAUCUGAUAAUUAUAGCAAUUCAAAUAGUAGGUGAGAUGAUAUUUACUGGAGAGAUUUUCAAGAUUGAACAAUUACAUGGUCAAUUUGCUUCUCUGCCAUGUAUUGCCAAGAAAGGCUGAGAAGAUCUAGUUAAGGGAUUAUUGUUCUUGAAACCCUUAGAAUGAGGUCCCCUGAUAGGGAAACACAAAGCAAUUGAUGUUGUUUGAAGAAGCUUUACUUGGGAACCGUAAGGGGUGUGGGAGGGCCGCAGUUUGGUUCCAUUUCCAUGUUCGGUCAGAUUAAGUUAUCUAUUACUUGGUCUGCUGCAAUAAGUUUGUUGUAACAGUGAAAUAAUAAUACUCAAGCAAGGGAACACUUGGCUUUGUAUGGGAAAUAUGUGGGUGAUUACAAGGUUGGGGAGGUUGUUUAACUUAGAGUUGGGGAUCAUCUUUUGUGCUUUUUUUCUCUUCUGUAUUUAUAGUGUGUGAAUGUAAUGUAUCAUUGAAUACACUUUCAUAACUUGUGGCACUACCUCAGUGAACAUUUUUAAAAUGGAUACAGCAUUGGUCCAAUGGUAAGUUACGAA